AACGAACGCUGGCGGCAUGCCUAACACAUGCAAGUCGAACGAGACCUUCGGGUCUAGUGGCGCACGGGUGCGUAACGCGUGGGAACCUGCCCUUAGGUUCGGAAUAACUCCCCGAAAGGGGUGCUAAUACCGGAUAAUGUCUUCGGACCAAAGAUUUAUCGCCUUUGGAUGGGCCCGCGUUGGAUUAGCUAGUUGGUAGGGUAAAAGCCUACCAAGGCGACGAUCCAUAGCUGGUCUGAGAGGAUGAUCAGCCACACUAGGACUGAGACACGGCCCAGACUCCUACGGGAGGCAGCAGUGGGGAAUAUUGGACAAUGGGCGAAAGCCUGAUCCAGCAAUGCCGCGUGAGUGAUGAAGGCCUUAUGGUUGUAAAGCUCUUUUACCCGGGAUGAUAAUGACAGUACCGGGAGAAUAAGCUCCGGCUAACUCCGUG
rnacentral:rRNA from 1 species